AUUGAACGCUGGCGGCGUGCCUAAUACAUGCAAGUAGGACGCAGUUGCGCACGGGUGCGUAAAGCGUAGGUAACUGCCUCUUAGAGGGGGAUAACUAUUGGAAACGAUAGCUAAUACCGCAUACUAGUAGAUGGACCUGCGUUGUAUUAGCUAGUAGGUAGGGUAAUGGCCUACCUAGGCGACGCUACAUAGCCGACCGUAGAGGGGGAUAGGCCAAAAUGGGACUGAGAAACGGCCCAGACUCCUACGGGAGGCAGCAGGAGGGAAUCGUCGGGAAUGGGGGGAACCCUGACCGAGCAACGCCGCGGGAGUGAAGAAGGUUUUCGGAUCGUAAAGCUCUGUUGUUAAGGAAGCGGUACUUAACCAGAAAGGGACGGCUAACUACGUGCCAGCAGCCGCGGUAAUAC
rnacentral:rRNA from 1 species